rnacentral:rRNA from 1 species
UCAGGAUGAACGCUGGCGGCGUGCUUAACACAUGCAAGUCGAACGGAGUUAAGAAGGAAGCUUGCUUCAUUUAACUUAGUGGCGGACGGGUGAGUAACGCGUGAGGAACCUGCCCUUCAGUGGGGAACAACAACUAGAAAUGGUUGCUAAUACCGCAUAAUGUCGGAUUGCCGCAUGACAAACCGACCAAAGGAUUUAUUCGCUGAGGGAUGGCCUCGCGUCCGAUUAGAUAGUUGGUGAGGUAACGGCCCACCAAGUCUGCGAUCGGUAGCCGAACUGAGAGGUUGAUCGGCCACAUUGGGACUGAGACACGGCCCAGACUCCUACGGGAGGCAGCAGUGGGGAAUAUUGGGCAAUGGGCGAAAGCCCUGACCCAGCAACGCCGCGUGAAGGAUGACGGUCUUCGGAUUGUAAGCUUCUUUAAUUGGGGAAGAACAAAAUGACCUACCCAAAGAAUAAGUCACGGCUAACUACGUGCCAGCAGCGGC